UGAAGGAAAUUGUCGAAACUAUAUCCCCUUUGCAGCUGUAAUCGGAGCCUCCACCUUUAUUCAUUAAGAUGGCUGUUUCCUGCCAAGCGGAGCUUGUAUUUGCACUGAUUAACAUACAGCGGGUGAAUCCUCAACAGUUCACUGGCAAAAGGCUCGAAGAAAACACUUCACUGCAAAGUGCUGAGGCAAGUGGCUGGUCCCAAUCGGCACUUCCAGCUGGUUCCACUUUGAGUCUCUUUCCUUAACAUGCUUAUGACUUGGCACAGUAUUGCUUAGGGAUGUAUUAAGAAAACAUUACUUCUAAUGUAUAGUGAGUUUUUGAGAAAAUAGUUAGCAUUAACCUUUUGGUGCUACAUCUAUGCAAGUUUUGCUUUCCGGAUUAAGCUCGUUUGGUUGCCAAUGUUGUGCUCUUCUGCCAAGCCUCUGUCUGCUGCUAACAGCAUAACAUAAGCUGGCUGUGAACCCAAUUCUCUCCGUCCUCCUAUCACCCUUCACCGGAUUUGGUAUUGCAAUUAGUACCAGUUCUCUUCUUGUGGAAUACCUCAGAUGGAGAAUAAGAAGACAAACACAACCACAACCACGAUGAUGGAACUGUGCUUGCAGAACUGACCAGCAAAGGCAACCACAAGACCGACGGCCAAGGCAGUAAGAAAGCAUUACAAUUCAUUUUUGUCUUAAUUUUCAGUUUGCAUAAUAUUUCUUUUAAUUUCAAAAACAAAUAAAACUCAAAUAUUUCAAGAUAAGCUAAAA